rnacentral:rRNA from 1 species
AUUGAACGCUGGCGGCAUGCUUUACACAUGCAAGUCGAACGGUAACAGGGUGCUUGCACCGCUGACGAGUGGCGAACGGGUGAGUAAUGCAUCGGAAUGUACCGUGUAAUGGGGGAUAGCUCGGCGAAAGCCGGAUUAAUACCGCAUACGCCCUGAGGGGGAAAGUGGGGGACCGAAAGGCCUCACGUUAUAUGAGCAGCCGGUGUCUGAUUAGCUAGUUGGUGAGGUAAAGGCUCACCAAGGCGUCGAUCAGUAGCGGGUCUGAGAGGAUGAUCCGCCACACUGGAACUGAGACACGGCCCAGACUCCUACGGGAGGCAGCAGUGGGGAAUUUUGGACAAUGGGCGCAAGCCUGAUCCAGCCAUGCCGCGUGUCUGAAGAAGGCCUUCGGGUUGUAAAGGACUUUUGUCCGGGAGCAAAUCCUAGUGGUUAAUAACCGCUGGGUCUGAGAGUACCGGAAGAAUAAGCACCGGCUAACUACGUG